rnacentral:rRNA from 1 species
ACUCAAAUGAAUUGACGGGGGCCCGCACAAGCGGUGGAGUAUGUGGCUUAAUUCGAUGCAACGCGAAGAACCUUACCUAGCCUUGACAUGCAUUAGACCAACGUUGAAAGACGUUUUUUUCGCAAGAAACUGAUGCACAGGUGCUGCAUGGCUGUCGUCAGCUCGUGUCGUGAGAUGUUGCGUUAAGUCGCGCAACGAGCGCAACCCCUGUCCUUAGUUGCCACCAUUUAGUUGGGCACUCUAGGGAGACAAACCCUCUUUGAGGGUGGGAAGGUGGGGAUGACGUCAAGUCAGGAUGGCCCUUACGGCUAGGGCUGCACACGUACUACAAUGCUUGGUACAGAGGGAAGCAAUAUCGCGAGAUUGAGCAAAUCCUCAAAACCAAGCCCAGUUCAGAUUGUAGUCUGCAACUCGACUACAUGAAGUUGGAAUCGCUAGUAAUGGCGCAUCAGCUACGGCGCCGUGAAUACGUUCCCGGGCCUUGUACACACCGCCCGU